CCUACGGGAGGCAGCAGUGGGGAAUUUUGGACAAUGGGCGAAAGCCUGAUCCAGCCAUGCCGCGUGCGGGAAGAAGGCCUUCGGGUUGUAAACCGCUUUUGUCAGGGAAGAAACGGUCUGGGUUAAUACCCUGGGCUAAUGACGGUACCUGAAGAAUAAGCACCGGCUAACUACGUGCCAGCAGCCGCGGUAAUACGUAGGGUGCAAGCGUUAAUCGGGAAUUACUGGGCGUAAAGCGUGCGCAGGCGGUCCUAUAAGACAGAUGUGAAAUCCCCGGGCUCAACCUGGGAACUGCAUUUGUGACUGUAGGGCUUGAGUACGGUAGAGGGGGAUGGAAUUCCGCGUGUAGCAGUGAAAUGCGUAGAUAUGCGGAGGAACACCGAUGGCGAAGGCAAUCCCCUGGACCUGUACUGACGCUCAUGCACGAAAGCGUGGGGAGCAAACAGGAUUAGAUACCCUGGUAGUCCACGCCCUAAACGAUGUCAACUGUUGUUGGAAAGGUUCCUUUUCAGUAACGAAGCUAACGCGUGAAGUUGACCGCCUGGGGAGUACGGCCGCAAGGUUGAAACUCAAAUGAAUUGACGG
rnacentral:rRNA from 1 species